rnacentral:tRNA from 3 species
GGAGGAGUCGGAUAAUGGCAUUCCAGCGGCUUGCUAAGCCGUAGCCCUUAAUUGGGCUUGCGGGUUCGAGUCCCGCCUCCUCCGCCA